rnacentral:rRNA from 1 species
AGAGUUUGAUCGUGGCUCAGGGUGAACGCUGGCGGUGUGCUUUAGGCAUGCAAGUCGAACGAGAAGCUCUGGCUUGCCAGAGUGGAUAGUGGCGAACGGGUGAGUAACGCGUACGAACUUACCCUUAAGAGGGGGAUAGUCCACCGAAAGGUGGGGUAAUACCCCAUAGUCCCUACGGGGUAAAGGGCAUAACUGCCCGCUUAAGGAGAGGCGUGCGUCCCAACAGCUUGUUGGUAGGGUAAUGGCCUACCAAGGCGAUGACGGGUAGCCGGGCUGAGAGGCUGUCCGGCCACAAGGGCACUGAGACACGGGCCCUACUCCUACGGGAGGCAGCAGCUAGGAAUCUUGCGCAAUGGACGAAAGUCUGACGCAGCGACACCGCGUGUGGGAUGAAGGCCUUCGGGUCGUAAACCACUUUUGAUCCCUCAUACGAGGGGUAGAAUAAGCAACUACUAACUACGUGCCAGCAGUCGCGGUAAUACGUAGGUUGCAAGCGUUACCCGGUUUACUGGGCGUAAAGGGUCCGCAGGCGGUUUUCUAAGUCUUGUUUCAAAGACUCCGGCCUAACCGGAGACAGGGGCAGGAUACUGGAAGACUAGAGUUAGAUCGGGGCUACUGGAAUUGAUAGCGUAGGGGUGAAAUCCGUGGAUACUAUCAAGAACACCGAGAGCGAAGGCAGGUAGCUAGGUCUUAACUGACGCUCAUGGACGAAAGCUAGGGUAGCAAACUGGAUUAGAGACCCAGGUAGUCCUAGCCGUAAACGAUGCCUGUUAGUUUCUUGGAUCUUUAUGAUCCGGGAGACGUAAGCUAACGCGUUAAACAGGUCGCCUGGGGAGUAUAUCCGCAAGGACGAAACUCAAACGAAUUGGCGGGGAGGCGCACAACCAGUGGAGCAUGUGGUUUAAUCCGAUACAAAGCGAUGGACCUUACCUAGGCUUGACAUGUACCUGCAAAUCCCGGAAAACCGGGACUCUUUCGAAGGUGGUACACAGCUGCUGCAUGGCUGUCGUCAGCUCGUGGCGUGAGCUGUUCCCUUAAGUGGGGUAACGAGCGCAACCCCUGUUCUAUGUUAUUGUGUCAUAGAAGACUGCCCUGCAUAAGUUUGUAGGGAGGAAGGAGGGGAUGACGUCAAGUCAGCAUGGCGCUUAUGCCUAGGGCGACUCACAUCCUACAAUGAAGCCGACAACGGGUUGCCAAACCGCAAGGUGGAGCUAAUCCUUCAAACGGCUUCUCAGUGGGGAUUAGGGGCUGCAACUCGCCCCUAUGAACUUGGAAUUGGUAGUAAUCGCAGAUCAGCAGACUGCGGUGAAUACGUUCUCGCCUCUUGCACACACUGCCCAUCAAGUCAGCAAAGUUGGGGGUGCCCGAAGUCUUUCUCUGAGCAAUCGGAGGAGGCCUAAGGUAAAUUCAGCGAUGAGGGCUAAGUUGUAACAAGGUA